CACGUAGGAGGCGAGCGUUGUCCGGAAUCAUUGGGCGUAAAGAGCGCGCAGGCGGCUUGGCAAGUCGGGUGUGAAAUCCCGGGGCUCAACCCCGGGACUGCAUUCGAUACUGUCAGGCUAGAGGUAGGUGGGGGAGAUCGGAAUUCCUGGUGUAGCGGUGAAAUGCGCAGAUAUCAGGAGGAACACCGGUGGCGAAGGCGGAACUCUGGGCCUUACCUGACGCUCAGGCGCGAAAGCUAGGGGAGCGAACAGG
rnacentral:rRNA from 1 species